UGGGGAAUAUUGGACAAUGGGCGCAAGCCUGAUCCAGCCAUGCCGCGUGAGUGACGAAGGUCUUCGGAUUGUAAAGCUCUUUUGGCGGGGACGAUAAUGACGGUACCCGCAGAAUAAGCCCCGGCUAACUUCGUGCCAGCAGCCGCGGUAAUACGAAGGGGGCUAGCGUUGUUCGGAAUUACUGGGCGUAAAGCGCACGUAGGCGGAUGUGUCAGUCAGGGGUGAAAUCCCGGGGCUCAACCCCGGAACUGCCUCCGAUACAGCACAUCUGGAGUCCGGAAGAGGUGAGUGGAAUUCCUAGUGUAGAGGUGAAAUUCGUAGAUAUUAGGAAGAACACCAGUGGCGAAGGCGGCUCACUGGUCCGGUACUGACGCUGAGGUGCGAAAGCGUGGGGAGCAAACAGGAUUAGAUACCCCCGUAGUCC
rnacentral:rRNA from 1 species